AUUUUUAAGGUGAAAUGUUAUAAUUUAUUUAUAGCUCUUUUUAUGAAUCUGUGAAAUUUAAAUAAUAAACUAGGAUUAGAUACCCUAUUAUUUUAAAUGUUAAUUAUAUUUACCAGGGUACUAUUAGUUAAGGUCUUUAAACCCAAAGAAUUUGGCGGUAUCUCAUUCCAUUCAGAGGAACCUACCCCGUGAUUGAUAAUACACGAUUUACUCUACUUAAUUUAUUUGUUUGUAUAUCUCCGUUAUCAGAGAAUCUUUUUAGAGUUAUAAUUCUCAAGAUUUAUAAUUAUAAAAUAUUUCAGGUCAAGGUGCAGCUUAUAGUUAAGAGGAGGUGGGUUACAAUAGGUUUUUGUUUAUAACGGAUUUGAUGGUGAAAUACUAUUAAUGAAGGUGGAUUUGAUAGUAAUUUAAUUUAUUUAAUUUAACUGAUAUUGGCUCUGAGGUGUGUACACAUCGCCCGUCGCUCUCAUUAUUGAUUAUUCUAUUUUAUUAUUUUAAGGUAGCUUUC
rnacentral:rRNA from 1 species